AUGCUGAGCUCAGUCUGCGUCUCGUCCUUCCGCGGGCGCCAGGGGGCCUGCAAGCAGCAGUCGGCUACGCCGCCGCCCGAGUCCCCGCCGCCGCUGCCCCCGCCGCCGCCGCCGCAGCAGCAGCCUGCGCAGCCCGGACCCGCCGCGUCCCCGGCGGGUCCCCCGGCACCCCGCGGGCCCGGGGGCCGGCGCGCCAAGCCAUGCCCCGGGCUGCCGGCGGCGGCCAUGGGGCGGCACGGCGGCGGCGGUGGCGACAGCGGCAAGAUCGUGAUCAACGUGGGCGGUGUGCGCCAUGAGACGUACCGCUCGACGCUGCGCACCCUGCCGGGGACGCGGCUGGCCGGCCUGACAGAGCCCGAGGCGGCGGCGCGCUUCGACUACGACCCGGGCUCAGACGAGUUCUUCUUCGACCGGCACCCGGGUGUCUUCGCCUACGUGCUCAACUACUAUCGCACUGGCAAGCUGCACUGCCCGGCCGACGUGUGCGGGCCGCUCUUUGAGGAGGAGCUCGGCUUCUGGGGCAUCGACGAGACCGACGUGGAGGCCUGCUGUUGGAUGACCUACCGCCAGCACCGCGACGCCGAGGAGGCGCUCGACUCCUUCGAAGCGCCGGACCCGGCGGGCGCUGCCAACGCCGCCAACGCCGCGGGCGCGCACGACGGCGGCCUGGACGACGAGGCGGGCGCCGGAGGCGGUGGCCUGGACGGCGCGGGCGGCGAGCUCAAGCGCUUGUGCUUCCAGGACGCAGGCGGCGCCGGGGGGCCGCCAGGGGGCGCGGGCGGCGCGGGAGGAACGUGGUGGCGUCGCUGGCAGCCCCGUGUGUGGGCGCUCUUCGAGGACCCCUACUCGUCGCGGGCAGCCAGGUAUGUGGCCUUUGCCUCACUGUUCUUCAUCCUCAUCUCCAUCACCACCUUCUGCCUGGAGACUCACGAGGGCUUCAUUCACAUCAGCAACAAGACCGUGACGCAGGCUUCCCCAAUCCCCGGGGCACCGCCAGAGAACAUCACCAAUGUGGAGGUGGAAACGGAGCCCUUCCUGACCUACGUGGAGGGCGUGUGUGUGAUCUGGUUCACCUUUGAAUUCCUCAUGCGCAUCACCUUCUGUCCUGACAAGGUGGAGUUCCUCAAGAGUAGCCUCAACAUCAUUGACUGCGUGGCCAUCCUGCCUUUCUACUUAGAGGUGGGCCUCUCGGGCCUCAGCUCCAAGGCCGCCAAGGAUGUGCUGGGCUUCCUGCGGGUUGUUCGCUUCGUGCGCAUUCUGCGCAUCUUCAAGCUGACCCGCCACUUUGUGGGGCUGCGCGUGCUGGGCCACACGCUUCGUGCCAGCACCAAUGAGUUCCUGCUCCUCAUCAUCUUUCUGGCGCUGGGUGUUCUCAUCUUUGCCACCAUGAUCUACUACGCUGAGCGCAUUGGCGCUGACCCCGAUGACAUCCUGGGUUCCAACCACACCUAUUUCAAGAACAUCCCCAUCGGCUUCUGGUGGGCCGUCGUCACCAUGACCACGCUGGGCUAUGGAGACAUGUACCCCAAGACGUGGUCAGGGAUGCUGGUCGGGGCACUGUGUGCUCUGGCGGGGGUGCUCACCAUCGCCAUGCCCGUGCCUGUCAUUGUCAACAACUUUGGCAUGUACUAUUCGCUGGCUAUGGCCAAGCAGAAGCUGCCCAAGAAGAAGAACAAACAUAUCCCUCGGCCCCCGCAGCCUGGCUCUCCUAACUACUGCAAGCCUGACCCGCCCCCACCACCCCCACCCCACCCUCACCAUGGCAGUGGCGGCAUCAGCCCCCCACCUCCCAUCACCCCACCCUCCAUGGGGGUGACUGUUGCUGGGACCUACCCACCGGGCCCCCAUACGCACCCCGGGCUGCUCAGGGGGGGAGCGGGUGGGCUCGGGAUCAUGGGGCUGCCUCCUCUACCGGCCCCUGGGGAGCCUUGCCCAUUGGCUCAGGAGGAGGUGAUUGAGAUCAACCGGGCAGAUCCCCGCCCCAAUGGGGAUCCAGCAGCAGCUGCACUUGCCCACGAGGACUGCCCAGCCAUCGACCAGCCCGCCAUGUCCCCGGAAGACAAAAGCCCCAUCACCCCGGGAAGUCGAGGCCGCUACAGCCGCGACCGAGCCUGUUUCCUUCUCACGGACUAUGCCCCGUCCCCUGAUGGCUCCAUCCGAAAAGCCACCGGUGCUCCCCCACUGGCUCCCCCAGACUGGCGUAAGCCAGGGCCCCCCAGCUUCUUGCCCGACCUCAACGCCAACGCCGCGGCCUGGAUAUCCCCCUAGUGGACGAACCCCUUCCCCCCGGGCUCUUGUCACCGCCUGAGACCUCGCGAGACCCUCGGUCCCCCCCUGCCCCUUCCCCCCAGGUUACGAGAAAUCCCGCAGCCUGAGCAGCAUCGCGGGCCUGAGCGGGGUG